rnacentral:lncRNA from 1 species
AAUAACGAGAGGUAAUACAUUUCUGUCUUUUCAUUUAUGUUCUAGGUCACCCACCAGUAUAAUGCGGGCAUAUCAUUUUUCAUGUCUUUACCAGGCGCCCACCUGUAUAACGAGAGGAAUACAUUUCAGUCUUUUCAUUCCAAGUGUUGAAGUUGGGAGACCGCCCAUAGAAUAGCGGCAUACAUUUCAUGUCUUAACCAGGCACCCACCUGAAUAACGAGAGGAAUACUUUUAUGUCUUAGUUUAGACAAGCGCCCACCUGAAUAACGAGAGGAAUACUUUUUGUCUGUGCAUUUCAUAUUUUAGGCGCCCACCUGUAUAACAAGGGAAUACAUUUUGUGUCUUUACCAUUAGACGCCCACCUGUAUAACAAGGGAAUACAUUCCACGUCUUCACCCAUAGGAGAUGCAUUUCCUCCUAAGUUUGUUUUAGUUUUACCCAUAGGAGAUGCAUUUCCUCCUAAGUUUGUUUUUUUACCCAUAGGAGAUGUAUUUCCUCCUAAAGUUUAUUUUUACCCAUAGGAGAUGCAUUUCCUACUAAGUUUAUUUCACCCAAUAGGAGACGCACUUCAUAAGAAUAGUUGUACCAAGAGGAGACGCACAUCCUAAGCAAGUUUCACCAAGAGGAGACGCACUUCCUAAGAAUAAUUUCACCAAUAGGAGACGCACUUCC